UUUUCCAAUAGUACCACUACCAUGUCCCGAGUACAUCGAACGCGAGAAGUUAACUCGGUGAAAACUUUAAAUUUGGAGGUAGUGAUGUUUUUCAAUUGAUUAAACGUCAACGCUCGAUCAUGAACAGUUUCCUUGUUAGGAAAUGUAUAUCUAUAUAUUUAGUACUUGCAUUUUAACAUGCGGUACUCCAAGGCGAAGACUGUUUAAAAAUAGUUACUUAAUAUAAACAAGAAAAUAUAACUUCUUGAAAAGUUGUACUUGCUGUCUUACUAAUCCCCAUAGUCUGGGUUGCAACUUUGUAAACUUUGCGGUAAUAGCGAGCACCAAUAUCAAAGUUCUUUCUUCCCGAUGAGAAUGUAUCUAAGAUAAUUUACGUUUUCGAUUUCGCUAGUUUUAAAUAAGAUCUGCUUCGCUGGUUUCCCUACUAUUACAAUAAUUUCUCAUUUUGAAAUUAUCGUGCUAAAAUUUACCUCGUUUUCAGACUCGUUACUUUGUAGUCUUAAUCUUAUCACGUGUGUUCUACUUUUUACCAUCCGAUUCUUUAGAAAAUUGGAUAGUUUUGCACUCUUCGACUUACAAAAUACUUGAAUACGUAUCACGUUAUCAUAUUAAUAGAUUUUCACAAAAGAAAUUAUUAACACAAUUAAACAGACGACUAUUAUCGCACAGCGGAACCCACUAAAGUGCAUCUUUAAAAUGCAAACACAAUUCCUUAACCUUAUUUGGAAAUUUAACAGACUAGAUGAUUGUCCUGGUACAGGUCCUUAUUCUGUUAAUUUUUGAAUUAUUGCCCAAGCAUGAGAAACUAUUCGUGAAUAUUCAUGAAAAUAUGUAACACAUGUGUUAUUUCGAGCUCAGUUGACUUCAGCCAUAUUUAUGUGCAACAGUUAUGAAUUAUGGGACUGUACGUACAAGUCAUUAGCUAUGCGAUUCAUGCAAUUUGAAAUUCCAUUAGAAAUCGUACACUGCUAGCAAAUGCUAGUAUUACAGUACAGUGGUGCGAAUGAGAUUUAAUUGUUUAAACAAAGAAAAUUCGCAUAUAAUUUUUAUUAAUUGUGACUUGAUUUCGUAAACGGUCACGAGGCGACUCCAGCUACCGAUUCGGAUAACGUUUCGGCUUUCUGGUUCCCUUCGAGUCGCCAUCCUGAUCAGAAGCCGCGUUCUCGAAUCGAUUUGUACAGUUAGGCCGAUGCUCUCGGAAAAUUCGUUAUUAUUCAGUUGAGGUCGCGGUACUCAAAUAUGCCGUGAAGAAAUAGUCUCGAAGUACCGAGUCACCCGGCAGAGCAGAGUACCCGACGGAGACGUCUCCACGGACCAGCAGAAGCCCGGGUGACAUACCGGCGCCCCGCUGGAGAUGGGCAAAGGGUUGUAGAGCAGGCGGAGAUACAGUUUUGAUAGGGUUAAGGGUAGUGGAGCAACGCCCUGACCCGGGUUAAGGAUGUGGUGCUCAGCGACCGUGGAGUAUAUCCCGAUUUGUUACGUACCGAUUUGCUAAGAAAUGCUCUCGAUUUAGUUUAAAAAGGAAGACUCAAAGGAAAGAAUAAUAGUUAUUGGCUAUAAGGGUCUCGACCAAUCAGAAUGAUUAGUUCUCGAAUUUAACUAUUGUCAAAUCAGUCAUUCAUCAGUCUGUCUUGGGACACCGAUCGGGGUGCCUCGAGCUGCCUCGCGCUUACGGGCUAUUUGUUUACAGUUUUUCUAUCCGUGUUUCCUGUACGGUACAGGAAGUUCUCGCGUUGCUCUCGCUAUAUCCUGAAAAUUCUAUAGAUUUUUCUGCGUGUGUUUCGGAAGUGCAGUGUUGUGCUAUGGUGCAGUGGAUACCUGAGUGAACAAGCUGAACCAGCUCCGAUGGACUCGAAGUACAUAAACGGACAAAUAAAUCAUAACCAAAAAGUCGUUACCUGAACAGCCCAGGAGACGCAAGAAAUAAAAAGCGAAUUGAACCAAAGAUAAAAAAAGUCAUUGUAAUCGAUGACAGGGGGCGGUAAAGACGGCACAGGACACGUCGAAAUAGGUAUUUUCGAAUGAAAUCGACCGAAGUGUCGGCUUAUUCGAGGAUCCCAGGAGAAGAAUAAUAGAGGAUCACAGAGGGGUGGUCGGUGGGUGGACAGGGGAGGAAUGGUGCCUCUCGUGCUGGAUGAGGGAAGGUGGCCGCAGAGGUACCACCACACAGUACCCUCGGCCUUCUACACCGAGGAGGCCUCGAUUCUCUACGGUUCGUUGACGUCGAGCACCGCGUCGACGACCACAACAAACGUAACGGCGACGUCGACGAGCAUAACGGCGACUCCAUUACCAGCGGCGCCCUACCGGAGCACCUGGGGCGCCCGAAGGGAUCCUCUCUACAUAGUCGUACCGAUGACGAUAAUAUACGCCAUAAUCUUCCUCACCGGUGUCAUCGGUAACGUGAGCACGUGCGUCGUGAUAGCCCGCAACAAGUCGAUGCACACCGCGACGAACUACUAUCUCUUCAGCCUGGCCGUGUCGGACCUGCUGCUGCUGGUUUCCGGUCUCCCACCGGAAAUGUACUACAUCUGGUCCCACUUCCCUUACGUCUUCGGCGAGGUCUUCUGCGUGAUUCAGGGCUUCGCCGCGGAGACUUCAGCCAACGCUACGGUCCUGACCAUCACCGCCUUCACUGUCGAGAGAUACGUCGCGAUCUGUCAUCCUUUUCUAUCCCACACAUUGUCCAAACUUACCAGGGCUUUCAAAUUUGUCAUCGUCAUCUGGCUGGUCGCACUUUGCUUAGCCAUACCCCAAGCAAUGUCCUUUGGCAUUGUCUACGAGACUUCCGCCGACGGCCGGAUACCUUACGAGGAUCAUUACGUCUGCAUCGUCAAGCGGGUCGUUAUUCCUCACGCAUUCGAGAUAUCCACCUUCCUUUUCUUUGUCGCUCCUAUGACCCUCAUUACCGUACUCUACGUCCUCAUCGCCCUUCAGCUGAGACGCUCGAGUGUGAUCGGCGGGGAGGCUACAGCCAGCACCAGCGUCUCCCUCAAAACUGGGGGCAUCUUCAAGAGGAAGGAACGAUCCGGCACUGAGGUUGUCGCUGUGACGGUGCCACCGCAUGCCUGUUCCGCUCAGAACGUCGACGGCUCCCAGAGCGACGACGGCAGGAAGAAUUGCUCCAGGAACGCUCAGACCAACGCUACCAAACGCGUUGUCAAGAUGCUCGUGGCCGUAGUGGUGGCGUUCUUCAUAUGUUGGGCACCGUUUCACGCUCAGCGUCUUCUGGCAAUUUACGGCACUCACAGUGCACCCCAUAUGGUCGCCGUAUUUACAGUGCUGACAUACGUCUCCGGAGUUCUCUAUUAUCUAUCGACGACUAUCAACCCGCUGCUCUAUCAUAUAAUGUCCAACAAGUUUCGCGAGGCCUUCAAGGAAACUCUGUCAGGAUACUGUGGACGUGGAAGACGCGGCCGACGGCGUAGAAGAACAACAGCCGGUACCGGCGGAGUAGAGAGUCGGCUGCUCUAGACAGUGAGCUCUCCAGUGAAAGUGCGCUGCUGGAUACGGACUUGAAAGAGCCCUCCGUCGAUGAUCCGAUCAGCGAGCCAAUCGACCAAGGAGCUCGGGAGUACGGUCGGCCUCGAGCCUCGAAAACCGAAUCCUUCUCGACUAAGGCUGCACGUCGAACGGGAUCGCUCCGCCGACUGGUGCCCCGAACGGUUGCCUACCUUGGAGGACAUUGAGAUCUUUCAGGAACAACGAUUCGUUAUGCGCGCAGUUAAACGAUCAUCCAAAUACUUGACACAUGGUCAGCAUAGCGACACGAUCAUUGGCCCUUAUCAUGAGCACUCGUCUGCGUCUUCUCCUUCUCAUCUGACGUCGCUCCUACCUUUUACAAACUCUCCUGACAUUUGUGUAGCUUCUCAACAAACUGUAUGCAGAAUGUCAUCACCUUACUGAUAAUAAUUUUUUGAUUUGCUUAGGUCUCUUUUUUUUUCUUAAAUAAAUUAUCGAACCUUUAUUCAUGUCCCUGAUGUACUUUUGGAAGUUUUGACAAAUUCAAGUAAACGGUGAUACUCUUAAUUGUAAUUGUUAUCGAUUAACAGUCUUUCUACUGAAAUCGUACGCGUAAUUUAAUGACUUUCGUGGGAAUAACACUGACGUAUAGCUUAAGACAUGUUGAAAUUGCCCUGUAGCUACUGUUGAUAGUAGUAAUCGAGUAGUGCCUCCUAAGGUUGCCCUGUUUCGCUUAAUAAUUGCGUAAUUACACGUGCUAAUGGUUGGCGUUAGUACUUUAUAAAUUAUUGUUACUUCUCAGUAUGCUUCCGGAGUGUAAAGAGGAAAGUUACGCGACACGUGGAAUUCUAGACAAGAUCGUCAUCAACUCCCCACGGUGCCUUAUAGAUUAUCUUUGCUUAAAAAGUGCGAUUACGCAGUCGUGUGUAUGCAUGGUUAUUUUUUUCCGAAAAAGGACGACAAAACCUUUAUAUCCAUUUUGAAGAAUAUUUAAAAAAAAAAGGAAGUCAACGGAUUAUACCAGUUUUGCAAAAUUUCACUUUUUGAACACUAGAUAACAUAUUUUUGACGGUGCCUAAUGAUAAAUCAAUAAUUUUCACGUUCAAGGAUAAAUUAAAAAUUUUUUUAAUGCAAACAACGCAUACUUUUCAAAAUGGACAAUCUAAAAUAGCAUUUACAGAGACGAUCGUGUUUAGAAUAAAACGUACGUAUCGCCCUAAUAAUAUUUUAAUUUAUUUUCGGAAAACUUUGUUCCGUAACGUUGCAUUGUCUUUCGUGUCACAAAGUACUCUUUAUCCCAUUGAUAGCGCCUGAAUAUCCAUUGACGUUCUGAAAUUCUAGACAUUCCUCUGUGAACGUUCUGCAGACAUAUAUUGUAACAGUCAUAAAUUGCUUCAAGUGUAACAUAGCCAUCACUUUGCAGCCCUUUUGUUUUCGGUCUCUUCUGUUCUAUAGAUACUUUCAAAGCUUCUCGUAUGAUUGUCCUUUUACGAAAUAUGAUUCAGAUUCACAAUUUUUAAUUAAAGGGAAGCAUGAUUGAUCCAUUAAAUUUAUAUACACAUGAAAAUUCGUUGUCAAGGAAUACCUACAGUUAAUUACAAAUAUCAUUCAUAGUCUGUUCAGUUCGUUGUAUCUUCACUAAAAAUAGUAUAAAAAUAGAAAAGCAGAAAAAAUGAAAAUAAUAAAUCUCUGCCGGGAAGACAAAAAGAACUUUUUUCUUUUUAUCAGACCGUUGACACUCACUCUUCCUCUCACAGGAAGUAACAGCAUCCCUUACUUCUGAAAGAUAAAAACUUUCGCCGAAAGAAGUGCCCCUCUUUUCCAUCUUUGAACAUCGGCGAUCUCUUUUUGGAAAUAAACAUUGCAGCCAGGGUUUUAUUGGACGUUUGCUAUGAAACGGAACGAAGAUAUAAAAUCCUUUAUCGAGGCCUAUAGAGAAACGUACUUGUGCGAGUUCGGGUAUCAAUUUUGUAUGUUCUGCGAAUAAAAGGGAGUUGGAGUACAGAAA